rnacentral:rRNA from 1 species
AUUGAACGCUGGCGGCAGGCCUAACACAUGCAAGUCGAGCGAGCGGCGGACGGGUGAGUAAUGUAUGGGGACUGCCCGAUAGAGGGGGAUAACUACUGGAAACGGUAGCUAAUACCGCAUACUAUCGGAUAACCCAUAUGGGAUUAGCUGGUAGGUGAGGUAAUGGCUCACCUAGGCGACGAUCCCUAGCUGUUCUGAGAGGAUGAUCAGCCCCACUGGGACUGGGACACGGCCCAGACCCCUACGGAGGCAGAAGUGGGGAAUAUUGGAAAUGGGGCGCAAGCCUGAGGCAGCAAUGCCGCGUGUAUGAAGAAGGCCCUAGGGUGGUAAAGUACUUUCAGUCGGGAGGCGUUACCGACAGAAGAAGCACCGGCUAACUCCGUGCCAGCAGCCGCGGUAAUAC